GGUUCUGUGUUCUAGUGGUUAGGAACCUCGUUUUUGAUGCGAGUAGCCCCGGUUCGAACCCGGGCAGGACCU